CCAAGAAGACGAGGCAAUCGCUCUUUUAAAGAAGAGAGGAAAGUCCGAACACCCACUCGGUUCGAGUUCCACGGGUCAGGGCAACGCCCUGCCAGAGUGAUCUGAGAGGUGCGAGCAGAGACGCCAGGGAACGAAAGGACCCUGGCAUCCAGCAAUGGAUGAGCCCUGAGGGCAACCUCGGGGGUGAAACGGCCAAAUCCUGCCUGGGUGCAAGAGCAAACCGGAAAUUCCGCGAUUCGUGUGGAGCUUCCGGAAAGGUAGCUCGCUUGAUUCCCUUGAGUAAUCAGGGGAACAGAUAGAUGAUUGCCGCUGCGUUCCCGGCAACGGGGACGGGGCACAGAAUUCGGCUUACUGUCUUCUUGGGCAA
rnacentral:RNase_P_RNA from 1 species